rnacentral:lncRNA from 1 species
ACAUGGAAUUUUGCAAGGCUGAACUGACUGGAGUUCAGAUUCAGUUCAGGCCUGCAAAAUUAUGGCAAAGUUUUGCAUGCCAAAGUUGUUAGUCCCUCACAACAGUCUGCCUGUCCUUAGUCCUAGUCUUCACAGGCGAGCAAACUGACUCUCUGGGGGUGAUGUCAUCACCUGGACUAGUGUCACACACUGAGCAGUAAAGAUGAGACUCAGUCCCGUCACAUGGAACCCGAGGCACAAGCCCCUUAGCAUAUGCUUAACAGGGUUAAGCUCUCCUACGAGUCUGUGCAAUGGACGCUAUGCUAUCUAUCAGUGGAGGUCUCUGGCUUGAGUGUUCAAGCGAAAGGGAAAGGGCAUGAGCGGAGAGGGGAAAUGUCUCUGCUGCUGCUGCUGCCCAGGCCACCGCGGUUUCUCUGAGACCCUGUGCUGGCCAGAGGAGGGCUGGGUAAUGAUCAAGGUACAGGGGUGCUUCUGCAGCGAAAGCGUCCGGGAGAGCAUUCUUUUCCCAGGAAGGGUUACAGUUCUAAUCAGACAGAUGCUCUUAGGCGAUGGAGUAAUUCUCUCACACUAUUUACUCCUUCUGGAUAGAAUCUUAGAUACAUUUUGGGGUGAGUUGGGGUCUGACAGCAGGUGCUUCCUAUUGGCUUGGUCUGAGAUGUUCGGGAUGCCUCAUCUGCAAAGGGCCUUGUGGGUGCUGCCCCUAUGUGACUGACGGUCACAACUCUUUCUAUGGGGAGCUGUGGCUGUGUGACAGGGGCCUGGUGUCCGGAGCAGGUGAAGCUCCUAUAGUCCCUUUGGGUCCCUGGGGCUUCCAACCCAGCUCAAACUUACCAGGUUACCUCUCUCGGUCCUCUGCCCCACAUUCUCUCAGCGAGCCACGCUC